rnacentral:rRNA from 1 species
UACGAGUGGAGCGAGCGUUGUUCGGAAUCACUGGGCGUAAAGCGUGCGCAGGCGGCUAUGCAAGUCAGGAGUGAAAUCCCAGGGCUUAACCUUGGAAUUGCUCUUGAAACUGCAUGGCUCGAAUCCCGGAGAGGUUGGCGGAAUUCUCAGUGUAGAAGUGACAUUCGCAGAUAUUGAGAGGAACACCAGUGGCGUAAGCGGCCAACUGGACGGGUAUUGACGCUCAGGCACGAAAGCGUGGGGAUCAAACAGG